rnacentral:rRNA from 1 species
GGCUUGUAGAUUAUAAUUUCAAGUCAGGCCUGCCCUAUGAAAAUUUAAAUGGCCGCGGUAUAUUGACCGUGCAAAGGUAGCAUAAUCAUUAGUUUUUUAAUUGAAAGCUGGAAUGAAAGGUUAGAUGAAAAAAUUUCUGUCUCUUAAAAGAUUAAUUAGAAUUUUAUUUUUAAGUGAAAAAGCUUAAAUUUGAAUAGAAGACGAGAAGACCCUAUAGAGUUUAAUAUUUAUAGAGAAAAAGGUUUAAAGACUAUUAUUAAAAUCUGGAUUUAAAAAUAAAUAUUUUAUUGGGGUGAUAGAAAAAUUUAAUAAACUUUUUUAAUGAGGAUACAUUUAUUUAUGAAGUUGUGAUCUUAAAUUUUAAGUUGGAAGAUAAAAUUACCUUAGGGAUAACAGCGUAAUAUUUUUUAGAGUUCUUAUCGAAAAAAAAGUUUGCGACCUCGAUGUUGGAUUAAAGUUAAUAAUUGGUGUAGAAGCUAGUUUAUUAAGUCUGUUCGACUUUUAAAGCUUUACAUGAUCUGAGUUUAGACCGGCGUGAG